rnacentral:rRNA from 1 species
GCUGGCGGCAUGCCUUACACAUGCAAGUCGAACGGAAACGAAAGGAGCUUGCUCCUAGGCGUCGAGUGGCGGACGGGUGAGUAACGCGUAGGAAUCUGCCCGAUAGUUGGGGAUAGCCCGGAGAAAUCCGGAUUAAUACCGAAUGUGGUCUACGGACUAAAGAGGGCCUCUCCUUGGAAGCUCUUGCUAUCGGAUGAGCCUGCGUUAGAUUAGCUAGUUGGUGGGGUAAUGGCCUACCAAGGCGACGAUCUAUAGCUGGUCUGAGAGGACGAUCAGCCACACUGGGACUGAGACACGGCCCAGACUCCUACGGGAGGCAGCAGUGGGGAAUAUUGGACAAUGGGCGCAAGCCUGAUCCAGCAAUGCCGCGUGUGUGAAGAAGGCCUUAGGGUUGUAAAGCACUUUCAGUAGUGAGGAAAAGCUAAGUAUUAAUACUGCUUAGCCGUGACGUUACCUACAGAAGAAGCACCGGCUAAUUCUGUGCCAGCAGCCGCGGUAAUACAGAAGGUGCGAGCGUUAAUCGGAAUUACUGGGCGUAAAGGGUGCGUAGGCCGCCAAGUCAGUCGAAUGUGAAAGCCCCGGGCUUAACCUGGGAAUGCCAUUCGAUACUGCUUGGCUAGAGUAUGGUAGAGGAAAGCGGAAUUCCACAUGUAGCGGUGAAAUGCGUAGAUAUGUGGAAGAACACCAACRGCGAASGCAGCUUUCUGGCCCAAUACUGACGCUGAGGCACGAAAGCGUGGGGAGCAAACAGGAUUAGAUACCCUGGUAGUCCACGCCGUAAACGAUGUCAACUGGCUGUUGGAGACGUUAGUCUGCAGUGGCGAAGCUAACGCGUUAAGUUGACCGCCUGGGGAGUACGGU